UGAGCCAUUCAUAUUUCAGCCAUUCACGAAAACAGCCCAUCCAAGACAAUGAAGCUAAAGUGUGAAGAGAAGCAAAUAUGGAGAGUAACCACCCACCCAUCUCCAUGCCCCUGCCAAAGGAGGCAGAGAGGAAACCAACCAUUUGUGAACUCUUCAUUCCAGACAAAAAAAGACUUAAAGAGCUUUUUUAAACCAGAAUAUCAGCACUACAAGAAAUAUUAAAGGAUAUUCUUGAGGCAGAAGGAACCCAAUACCAAAUGGAAGCUUGGAUCUAUAGAAGUGAAGACCACCAGAAAUAGGAAAUAGACUGGAAAGUCCAAGAUCAAGAUGUUGGCUGAUGAGAGCUCUCUUUCUAACUCCAAGAAGAUGCCUUGCUGC